AGAGUUUGAUCCUGGCUCAGGACGAACGCUGGCGGCGUGCUUAACACAUGCAAGUCGAACGGUAAGGCCCUUCGGGGUACACGAGUGGCGAACGGGUGAGUAACACGUGGGUAAUCUGCUCUGCACAUCGGGAUAAGCCUGGGAAACUGGGUCUAAUACCGAAUAUGACCAUGCACUUCCUGGUGUGUGGUGGAAAGCUUUUGCGGUGUGGGAUGGGCCCGCGGCCUAUCAGCUUGUUGGUGGGGUAAUGGCCUACCAAGGCGACGACGGGUAGCCGGCCUGAGAGGGUGACCGGCCACACUGGGACUGAGAUACGGCCCAGACUCCUACGGGAGGCAGCAGUGGGGAAUAUUGCACAAUGGGCGCAAGCCUGAUGCAGCGACGCCGCGUGAGGGAUGACGGCCUUCGGGUUGUAAACCUCUUUCAGCACAGACGAAGCGCAAGUGACGGUAUGUGCAGAAGAAGGACCGGCCAACUACGUGCCAGCAGCCGCGGUAAUACGUAGGGUCCGAGCGUUGUCCGGAAUUACUGGGCGUAAAGAGCUCGUAGGUGGUUUGUCGCGUUGUUCGUGAAAUCUCACGGCUUAACUGUGAGCGUGCGGGCGAUACGGGCAGACUUGAGUACUGCAGGGGAGACUGGAAUUCCUGGUGUAGCGGUGGAAUGCGCAGAUAUCAGGAGGAACACCGGUGGCGAAGGCGGGUCUCUGGGCAGUAACUGACGCUGAGGAGCGAAAGCGUGGGGAGCGAACAGGAUUAGAUACCCUGGUAGUCC
rnacentral:rRNA from 1 species